UGUAUAUUAACGGCAUCGUAGAUAUACCAAAGCUGAGGCGCCUAGGGAUGGACUCGCGUCUGAUUAGAUAGUUGGUGGGGUAACGGCCUACCAAGUCGACGAUCAGUAGCCGGACUGAGAGGUUGAACGGCCACAUUGGGACUGAGACACGGCCCAGACUCCUACGGGAGGCAGCAGUGGGGAAUAUUGCACAAUGGGCGAAAGCCUGAUGCAGCAACGCCGCGUGAAGGAAGACGGUUUUCGGAUUGUAAACUUCUGUUCUUAGUGAAGAAUAAUGACGGUAACUAAGGAGCAAGCCACGGCUAACUACGUGCCAGCAGCCGCGGUAAUACGUAGGUGGCAAGCGUUGUCCGGAAUUACUGGGUGUAAAGGGAGCGUAGGCGGGAAGCCAAGUCAGCUGUGAAAUCUACGGGCUUAACCUGUAGACUGCAGUUGAAACUGGCUUUCUUGAGUGAAGUAGAGGUUGGCGGAAUUCCGAGUGUAGCGGUGAAAUGCGUAGAUAUUCGGAGGAACACCGGUGGCGAAGGCGGCCAACUGGGCUUUAACUGACGCUGAGGCUCGAAAGUGUGGGGAGCAAACAGGAUUAGAUACCCUGGUAGUCCACACUGUAAACG
rnacentral:rRNA from 1 species